GUAGUCAGAUGUGAAUCCCUUGGCUCAACCAAGGAAGGGCAUUUGAAACUGUCUGGCUUGAGUACGGGAGGGGGAAGUGGAAUUCCCGGUGUAGAGGUGAAAUUCGUAGAUAUCGGGAGGAACACCGGUGGCGAAGGCGGCUUCCUGGACCGAUACUGACGCUGAGACGCGAGAGCGUGGGGAGCAAACAGGAUUAGAUACCCUGGUAGUCCACGCCGUAAACGUUGGGCACUAGGUGUUGUGGGUAUUGACCCCUGCAGUGCCAAGGGCGAAUUCCACAGUGGAUA
rnacentral:rRNA from 1 species